rnacentral:lncRNA from 10 species
GUUCCGGCGCUCACGUUCCAAUUCCAAAUUACAAAUUCCGAUCUAGAGCUCCCACGCUUGGGGGCUGUGGAGCGCUCGCCAGCCGCUCCCCGUUUGCUGCUGGGUCUUACGAAGUUCUCAUAUCCAUCAUACAGUUUCUUUGUCACACUGUCCGCGGCACGCCAGUCCCUAUGACAGAAAGCACCUGCGGUCUGUCUGGAGGCGGAGUUGGUGGCGGAGAGAAAAAGUUCUGGAGACACCUGGUUGGGAGCAGGCUAAGGAAACAAAUGGGGAGGAAUUAGCCACAAAUCCUCAAAUAGACAGCUACUCAAAGGCAUCUUCACGGACAAUUUCCAAGCAUUGGAUGCAGUGGUGCAUUCUUGCAUUGGGCAGUGAUUGUGUGCACACAUCUCUUUAAGGGAGAGUGGAAAUGGGGUGAGGAGGAAAAUGGGAGUAGGAUAGAGUGUAGCGUUGACAUUUAUUUUCUUUAAAGGAAGACCCGAGCAUACCUGAGAGCUCAGUGAAGAAAGUAGUUCUGGCGAAUCGGAUUAAUAUGCACCACUGAAACUUGACCUUCGGCCGGCGCGGUGGCUCACGCCUGUAAUCCCAGCACUUUGGGAGGCCGAGAUGGGCGGAUCACGAGGUCAGAAGAUCGAGA